GACGAACGCUGGCGGCGUGCUUAACACAUGCAAGUCGAACGGAAAGGCCCUGCUUUUGUGGGGUGCUCGAGUGGCGAACGGGUGAGUAACACGUGAGUAACCUGCCCUUGACUUUGGGAUAACUUCAGGAAACUGGGGCUAAUACCGGAUAGGAGCUCCUGCUGCAUGGUGGGGGUUGGAAAGUUUCGGCGGUUGGGGAUGGACUCGCGGCUGAUCAGCUUGUUGGUGGGGUAGUGGCUUACCAAGGCUUUGACGGGUAGCCGGCCUGAGAGGGUGACCGGCCACAUUGGGACUGAGAUACGGCCCAGACUCGUACGGGAGGCAGCAGUGGGGAAUAUUGCACAAUGGGCGGAAGCCUGAUGCAGCAACGCCGCGUGCGGGAUGACGGCCUUCGGGUUGUAAACCGCUUUCGCCUGUGACGAAGCGUGAGUGACGGUAAUGGGUAAAGAAGCACCGGCUAACUACGUG
rnacentral:rRNA from 1 species